AUGGGUGUGGCGCAACGGAAGCGCUCCGGUCUCCAAAACCGGCGGUUGGGGGUUCGAGUCCCUCCACCCAUG
rnacentral:tRNA from 1 species